UUUGUCUAGUGACAGAAAGUAGAUCAGUGGUUGAGGUACUGGGGGCAGAGGAGAGGAUCUUUUGGUAGUAAUGGAGAUGUUCUGUAUCUUGAUCAAGAUUGUGGUUUUGACAAAUAUAUACAUGUGUCAAAAUUUACCAACUUUUAUACUUUAAUGGAUGUAGUUUAUUGUACCUAAAUAAACCUCAAUAAAAUUUUAUUUAGAGACACACCGAGAGAGAAAACACAAGCAGGGG